GAGAUUCCCCCAGUAGCGGCGAGCGAACGGGGAGGAGCCCAGAGCCUGAAUCAGCAUGUGUGUUAGUGGAAGCGUCUGGAAAGGCGCGCGAUACAGGGUGACAGCCCCGUACACAAAAGCGCAUGUGCUGUGAGCUCGAUGAGUAGGGCGGGACACGUGGUAUCCUGUCUGAAUAUGGGGGGACCAUCCUCCAAGGCUAAAUACUCCUGACUGACCGAUAGUGAACCAGUACCGUGAGGGAAAGGCGAAAAGAACCCCGGCGAGGGGAGUGAAAAAGAACCUGAAACCGUGUACGUACAAGCAGUGGGAGCCCCACCACCAAAGCAUUCUC
rnacentral:rRNA from 1 species